GGAAGUAAAAGUCGUAACAAAGUUUCCGUAGGUGAACCUGCGGAAGGAUCAUUAUUGUAUAACCGAGGUGCGAGGGCUGUCGCUGUCCCGAAAGGUCGUGCACGCCCGAGUGCCCUCACACACAUCCAUCUCACCCCUAUGUGCACCACCGCGUGGGUCCCCUUUGGCUUGUUCGGAGGGGGGCUUACGUUUUCACACAAACUUUGUAUGCAGUGUAGAAUGUAUUUUUUGUUUUUGCGAUCACGCAAUCAAUACAACUUUCAACAACGGAUCUCUUGGCUCUC
rnacentral:misc_RNA from 1 species